rnacentral:lncRNA from 1 species
AACUGAACUUGAGGUGGGCGGGGGGGGGGGAGGGAGGGGCCGCACACACACACCUCCAGCCAGCACGAGGCCCCGUGCGGCGCCAGGUCCUCGGCCAACGCCACGGCGCUCCUGGGGCCCUCCCCCCGCCCCGCUACCACUUCCCUCCCCAGCGUGCUCUGGAGUUCAGACAACGUCCACUCUGCCUUGGCCGAUCCCAGCAGUGCUGCUCUGCGUCCCGGCACCAGCUCCACCUGCCAUGUUCCAACCCAUGAAGACGGCGAAGACGAGGACUUCCUGUUGGUCAGGACCCCUCCCUCCGCCAGCACAGCACAAACCUGCUUCUGUUUAGGAUGCACCGUUCAACAGCUCCCAGAGCCGUGGGAAGCAGGAGUGCGCUGUCAGGGGCCUGGCUCGGCAGGAGGGCCUUUUCCUCUGGGCCUGUCCUCCGUGCACCGGCCUCCUCGCGUCCACGGACGGUCUCUUCCCACGUCUCAGGCAAUCUUGGAACUUCUCUAUCGGCCUUGUGACUCCGACCACACCAUUUUCCAUCAGCUCACCCAUCCACCUGUCUGUUCGUCCAUCUGUCCAUCCAUCCACCUACCCACCCACCUCCCUAUCCAUCCAUCCAUCUACCUACCCACAUACCUACCUACCUAUCCAUCCAACCAUCCACCCACCUAUCUACCCAUAUACCUACCUGUUCACCCAUCUGUCCAUCCAUCCACCCACCCACUCAGCCAGCCAGCCAUCCACCCACACACCCACCUAUCCAUCCACCCAUCCAUCCACCCACCCACUACCCACCACCCACCACUACAUUCACGGUCUCUCCCUGGACCACAAGCUCCCCGAGGGCAGGACCCUGUUGGACUUGUCAUCAUGGCAUCCUCAGCUCCUUGUCACAUCUUGGCAAAGGGAUCAGCAACCAACGCCACGUCUCACAGAGCCGAGAACUUGUGAGAAACCUCUCGAUUGCUUCCUCCCGUUCCCUGCCGUUCUCACCCCUUUCUCAGCGCUCAUGUUUCGGGCACAGGAAGACGCCCACGUUCCCAGGGCCCGGUCCACCUGCCUGUGGACCCCAGUCCGAGCUCCUGCAGCCUCGCCUUGUCUGGUCGGUCUGCGCCUCUUCCUUUUACAACCGGGGUUCCAUCCCAGCACACGGG